rnacentral:lncRNA from 1 species
AAAUUCUAUGAGGCGCCACAGAAACAGAACAUACUGAUGAGAAUUAUGUGGAGUAGGAAACUUAGUCAAUUAAAAUUUGUUUUAUUAAAUUUAGCCUCACUCUUAAUGUUCCAAAAGCCCAAGGUGGGUGGGCCAGUCAGGUGAAAUAAUCUUUGGUAUUUCCUUCAUUCAAGCAGUUAUUCUCACCCUUUCACCAAAUAAAAUGUUCACUUACAUUAGGAAAACUGCUUUUAAAAUAUUUGAUUCACAGUUGCUGGGCUAGGAAGUGAUCUCUUAGGCAACAUUUUGGGAAUGACAUUCUCUUUAGUUCUUCUACUCACUAAUAAGUCUAAGGCAAAGCUAUUGUCUCAUACCUGAUUUUUUUCCUCCAACAUUUUGCUUGAAAAUUUUUCAAAUUUAUUGAAUUUGAAAGAACAAGAAAUGUUCAGUGAAUACUUGUAUGUCCUUCCCUUGAAUUCUCCAAUUAACAUUUUAUCACAUUUUAUUGAUCUUUUUUAAUUAAGCCAUUUGAAAAUAAGGGGCAAACUUCUUUAUCCUUUCGCGUUAAAGUAUCUUUUGCCUUCUAUAUCUCCUAAAACCAAAGGCUCUCCCUGUGUAAACAUCAUCAUGUCCCCAAGAUUCAUCAUAAAUAUACCUUGUAUUAUAUUUAUACAUAUAUUUCUGCAUAUAAGUAUAAUGCUAUAUGUGUGUGUAUGUAUGUGUAUAUAUAUAAAAUAUUCAGACCUUGUUCAAAUUCCCCCCAUUGCUACCAGAAAUGUGUGACAUUGGAUAUAGAGGUCAUAUAUUACGUUUGAGGUCAUAUUUGGUUUGUCAUGUCUCUUCUUUCUUUAACUUAUUUAAUCUAUUACAGUCCCUCUACGUUUGUUGUUGUUGUUGAGACAUUAACACUUCAAAUCUAAGCCAUGUAUCUUAUAGAAAAAGUCCUGCAUCUUGAUUUGUCUGAUUAUUUCCUCAUGUGUGGAUUCAGACAACAUUUUUGGCAAGAAAACUACAGAGGCAAUAUUGUAUACUUCCCAGUGUAUCAUCAGGAAAUACUUGAUCCAUAACUGGUUAGUGUCUUUUUUUUGCCAUUUGGCAAAUAGAGCUAAAAAUCAGUGCUUAUCAUCCGAAGGUUUGGGGAAAAACAGAGGUCUUUAGUGCUCUGAGGUUCUUGAAAAUGUGCCAUGCACAUCCUACUAACAAAGAAUUUGAAACACUUAGAGGGAUUUCCACGGACCAUGGCUGUUACAUAACUAUCUUAAACAGAUAAAAACAUCCCCCACUUUCUGGAAUUUCAAAGAUUUCCAGAGUAGUAAUAAUAUGAUCUCUUAUUUCUUAUAGCUGGGUUGUUCAUUUAUUAAAAUAACUUUUGCUUGCUAGUCCAAGGGAGAUAGUAAAUAAUCUCUUACUAUUUUUCAUUGCUUCUCUCUUUCCCACUCUCUUGCCAGCAGUUUAUUCAAG